rnacentral:tRNA from 1 species
GUGGUGGCUCAGCGGUAGAGCACUCACCUAGCACAUGUGAGGCCCUGGGUUCGAUCCUCGGCACCACG